rnacentral:rRNA from 1 species
UACGUAGGGUGCAAGCGUUGUCCGGAAUUAUUGGGCGUAAAGAGCUUGUAGGCGGUUUGUCGCGUCUGCUGUGAAAUUUCGGGGCUCAACCCCGAACUUGCAGUGGGUACGGGCAGACUAGAGUGUGGUAGGGGAGACUGGAAUUCCUGGUGUAGCGGUGAAAUGCGCAGAUAUCAGGAGGAACACCGGCGGCGAAGGCGGCACUCUGGGCCGGUACUGACGCUGAGGAGCGAAAGCGUGGGUAGCAAACAGG